rnacentral:misc_RNA from 1 species
AACUUUUAACAAUGGAUCACUUGGCUCUCGCAUCGAUGAAGAACGCAGCGAAAUGCGUUAAGUAAUGUGAAUUGCAGAAUUCAGUGAAUCAUCGAAUCUUUGAACGCACCUUGCGCUCCUUGGUAUUCCGAGGAGCAUGCCUGUUUGAGUGUCAUUUAAUUCUCAACCUUUCCAUUAAUUUGGUUUGGCUUGGAUGUGGGGGUUGCAGGCUUCAUUUGACUAUGAGGUCAGCUCUCCUUAAAUGCAUUAGUGGAACUUUUGUUGACCAUCUAUUGGUGUGAUAUCUAUCUACACUGUAGAUGUGAAGCAGUGUUCAGCUUCUAACCGUCCAUUAUUGACUUUACUUGACCAUUUGACCUCAAAUCAGGUAGGACUACCCGCUGAACUUAAGCAUAUCAAUAAGCGGAGGCU